CCCAGGCUCUGGCACCCAUGUCCAGUCCCCGGCCACGGUUAAAUUCCUCAUUCAAAGAGACGAGCGUGUAAUUGUGGAAGCAAAGCGUGUGUCUGAUUCAGAGGAAAAUUCCUGAAGAGAACAGAGUGAAAAUACUCAACAGUAAUACCACUGAAAAGAUAUCAGCAGAGGAAAAGGGACUCACUACAUAUUACCUGGAGGACCGAGAGGGAAACUCAACUGCUCAGACUCUGCAGCUGACUAACCUCCCUUGACUACUGAUGCCAAUCAUUUUUCUUUCUUACCAUUACAUGAAAACCCAUUUUCCAAUGAAAUGACUAUCCAGAGUCCACUUCAAAAAAAAGUUUCAACUCUUAGAAGUCUGCUGUUAUGACUGAAUGUUCACAGCAAGAUUCAGCCCUGUAGUUUUUCACUCUGUCAGGCUGAAACUUCAAAGCCACUGCUGCUCACCUUGAUUUGUGAAACUUGAUUUUUAGUGGUCUUAAGGAGAAUUUUGCAACUUCAGCUGUAAAAUGUCAACCAAAAUGAAGUUAUUUUCCUACUAGCCUGCAACUGACAGCAAACUGCUUCUUCGUAUUGUUUCAAUCUUUAACGAGAAGAUUUUAAA